rnacentral:tRNA from 1 species
GGAAGGUUAGCUCAAUGGUAGAGCACGUGCUUUGGCAUGUAUGAGGUCCUGGGUUCAAUCCCCAGUGUCUCUG